AGCAGCCGCGGUAAUUCCAGCNCCNAUAGCGUAUAUUAAAGUUGUUGCAGUUAAAAAGCUCGUAGUUGAAUUUCGGGAUCAAUGCGUCGGUCGUGCCUCGGUACGUACUAACGAUAUUGAUUUCUCCCUUCUGACGAACCGUGAUGUCAUUAAUUUGGUGUUACGGGGAGUUAGGACUGUUACUUUGAAAAAAUUAGAGUGUUUAAAGCAAGCAAUCGCUCGAAUACAUUAGCAUGGAAUAAUGAAAUAGGACGUUCGAACCUAUUUUGUUGGUUUCUAGGAUCGACGUAAUGAUUAAUAGGGAUAGUUGGGGGCAUUAGUAUUCAAUUGUCAGAGGUGAAAUUCUUGGAUUUAUUGAAGACUAACUACUGCGAAAGCAUUUGCCAAGGAUGUUUUCAUUAAUCAAGAACGAAAGUUAGGGGAUCGAAGACGAUCAGAUACCGUCGUAGUCUUAACCAUAAACUAUGCCGACUAGGGAUCGGAUGAUGUUAAUUUUUUAAUGACUCA
rnacentral:rRNA from 1 species